AACGAACGCUGGCGACAUGCCUAACACAUGCAAGUCGAACGAGACCUUCGGGUCUAGUGGCGCACGGGUGCGUAACGCGUGGGAACCUGCCCUUAGGUUCGGAAUAACUCCCCGAAAGGGGUGCUAAUACCGGAUAAUGUCUUCGGACCAAAGAUUUAUCGCCUUUGGAUGGGCCCGCGUUGGAUUAGCUAGUUGGUAGGGUAAAAGCCUACCAAGGCGACGAUCCAUAGCUGGUCUGAGAGGAUGAUCAGCCACACUGGGACUGAGACACGGCCCAGACUCCUACGGGAGGGAGCAGUGGGGAAUAUUGGACAAUGGGCGAAAGCCUGAUCCAGCAAUGCCGCGUGAGUGAUGAAGGCCUUAGGGUUGUAAAGCUCUUUUACACGGGAUGAUAAUGACAGUACCGGGAGAAUAAGCUCCGGCUAACUCCGUG
rnacentral:rRNA from 1 species